UCAACUGCAGCGGAAAGAAAUAAUACAGUUGUGUUCUAGAUGCCUUUUUUUUAACAAUCACCUGGAUUUUCAUCUCAUGUAACUUUUGUCUAAAAGGAUUAAACCCUGGGUCUCCAACAGGGGCCCGUGACCCCCUCUGUAGAAUCAAAAGUUAAGACAUCAUGAAGGCACGUAGGCCUCUGGAUAAAUGUUUUUCAGGUACCAAGGGAAGUCUCUGCAUUUUAGUCUCUUUCUGAGUUCACGGCGUUUGGUCACGUCUCCAAAUGAGUUCUGAGGGGAAAAUGAAAGCAAGAUAUGGUGAACUGCAUUUCGGUUUCGACGAUAAAAGGCAAAUUUGUAGUCGUCCAUCCAGACCUCAGCAAGGCGGACCAGGUUGCGGGUGAUUGCAUAGCUUGCGUUGGUGAAUGUGUGGGGACUUUUUUUGCGGAAAAUGUGCCCUACGAUAGAACAAGGAAUGAUCUCCAGCUGACCUCCACAUUGCCAGACCUGAAGUAGACAGUAGCACAAGUCCAGAGAUGGGAAUAUAUGGAUUUUGCACUGGUGCACUUUGAAGAUACUCACCAUCUGUGCUGGCGUCAUCCACCAGUAAGACCUCUGUGAGCAGGGCGGCAGGAGCUGUGUGCAACACACUGUAGACCGUCCUCAGCAGAGUGGACCAGGCCUCAUUAUGAAACACUAUGAUCACACUGGUGGUGGGGAGGCCAGGACAACGCAGAAACUUCUGUUCAAGGCAGCUGUCAGAGUGAAACUGACAGUUAACGGGAAGAUCAAGAAUAAAAUUUAACAAAUGUGGCUCAAAGGCUUUGCCGUCAGCACCCGGUGCCGUGGGAUCUUGGGGAGGCCUCUGCAUGUGAGGCUUGAGCUCCUCUUUAGCGUAAAAGCCAGGUGGACAGUCGGCAUAUGGCGAUGGGACAAG